UACGUAGGGUGCAAGCGUUAAUCGGAAUUACUGGGCGUAAAGCGUGCGCAGGCGGUUUUGCAAGACCGGGGUGAAAUCCCCGGGCUCAACCUGGGAACUGCCUGUGUGACUGCAUGACUAGAGUACGGUAGAGGGGGAUGGAAUUCCGCGUGUAGCAGUGAAAUGCGUAGAUAUGCGGAGGAACACCGAUGGCGAAGGCAAUCCCCUGGACCUGUACUGACGCUCAUGCACGAAAGCGUGGGGAGCAAACAGG
rnacentral:rRNA from 1 species